rnacentral:rRNA from 1 species
CUACGGGGGGCUCCAGUGGGGAAUAUUGCACAAUGGGCGCAAACCUGAUGCAGCAACGCCGCGUGAACGAUGAAGGUCUUCGGAUCGUAAAGUUCUUUUCUUAGGGAAGAAAAAUGACGGUACCUAAGGAAUAAGCACCGGCUAAAUACGUGCCAGCAGCCGCGGUAAUACGUAUGGUGCAAGCGUUAUCCGGAAUCACUGGGCGUAAAGGGAGCGUAGGCGGUUUUGCAAGUCAGAAGUGAAAGGCUACGGCUCAACCGUGGUAAGCUUUUGAAACUGCAAGACUAGAGUGCAGGAGAGGCAAGUGGAAUUCCUAGUGUAGAGGUGAAAUUCGUAGAUAUUAGGAGGAACACCAGUGGCGAAGGCGACUUGCUGGACUGUAACUGACGCUGAGGCUCGAAAGCGUGGGGAGCGAACAGGAUUAGAUACCCCCGUAGUC